rnacentral:rRNA from 1 species
UACGAAGGGGGCUAGCGUUGCUCGGAAUCACUGGGCGUAAAGGGUGCGUAGGCGGGUCUUUAAGUCAGGGGUGAAAUCCUGGAGCUCAACUCCAGAACUGCCUUUGAUACUGAAGAUCUUGAGUUCGGGAGAGGUGAGUGGAACUGCGAGUGUAGAGGUGAAAUUCGUAGAUAUUCGCAAGAACACCAGUGGCGAAGGCGGCAUCCUGGACCAUUACUGACGCUGAGGCGCGAAAGCUAGGGGAGCAAACGGG